GAUGAAGAACGUAGCGAAAUGCGAUAAGUAAUGUGAAUUGCAGAAUUCAGUGAAUCAUCGAAUCUUUGAACGCACAUUGCGCCCGCCAGUAUUCUGGGGGGCAUGCCUGUUCGAGCGUCAUUACAACCCUCAGGCCCCCGGGCCUGGCGUUGGGGAUCGGCGGAGCCCCCCGUGGGCACACGCCGUCCCCCAAAUGCAGUGGCGGUCCCGCCGCAGCUUCCAUCGCGUAGUAGCUAACACCUCGCGACUGGAGAGCGGCGCGGCCACGCCGUAAAACACCCAACUCUUCUGAAGUUGACCUCGAAUCAGGUAGGAAUACCCGCUGAACUUAAGCAUAUCAAUAAGCGGAGGA
rnacentral:misc_RNA from 1 species